rnacentral:SRP_RNA from 1 species
AGUUUGGGUCUUACGCAACGGAUGUCUGCGAACCGUGUCAGGUUGGGAACAAAGCAGCACUAAGCAGAAUUUUCCGUGUGCCGUGAGGGUGCCUGGCGGAGU